AGCUGUACCAGAUGCUACAUUU
rnacentral:miRNA from 1 species